rnacentral:rRNA from 1 species
UACGUAGGGUGCGAGCGUUGUCCGGAAUUAUUGGGCGUAAAGAGCUUGUAGGCGGUUUGUCGCGUCUGCUGUGAAAAUCCGGGGCUCAACUCCGGACUUGCAGUGGGUACGGGCAGGCUGGAGUUCGGUAGGGGAGACUGGAAUUCCUGGUGUAGCGGUGAAAUGCGCAGAUAUCAGGAGGAACACCGGUGGCGAAGGCGGGUCUCUGGGCCGAUACUGACGCUGAGGAGCGAAAGCGUGGGGAGCGAACAGG